CAGGUUAAAGUCAAGAUAUAGCACAUUCCAGGCUUUUGGGAAUCUGGCCUCGCCCACCUUUUUACCUACACCUUCAACCUUGAACCUUGUAGCCCAAACGAUUUGUGGUUUCCGAAACCUGCUAUUGCUGCACCCUCCCCCAUUCUAAUGGAAGGGCUCACUGGUUUUCAGCCAUCUGAAGGGAAUGCCUCCUGGAGACUGGGAGAACACAAACAAGCAGAUCUGCAAUGUGGUGUGAAGAAAACAGAGGAGGCACGUGAGUUGGGAUGCGUUAAACAUUAUGAAUUCAUUUGCACAGUCACCAGCAGAAGCAACAUGAUCUAAAAUCAAGACAAAGCCAGGAGCCUUGCCCUCGAAUCACCAUGUCUCAUGGAGGAAUUUGGAUGGAGAUUGCUGGAUAUGACAGCCUCCGUGAACAUCUGCAACAUCUCUUGCAGGACCCAGUAAAAUCUUCCCGUGCUUUCACAGGCAGAUCUGUUAUUGUACAUGGGAAAGAACCCACUAGAGCCUGCAGUUAUGAUGAGCUCAGUCACAGAAUCCCCUGGAAUAGUAGCUAAAGGAAUAAAGGCAGAAGUUAAAAAUGAAAUUAAAAGCAACAAAUAUAAUGCAAUGCUCCUGGUCAGCAUGUAGUAGAUACCCAUUAACCGAUUAAGAGACAAAGAAAACACCAAAAUGUAGCUCAGUUGUACACCUUCAGAGAGUGCAGUCACUGACAAACCGCAGACACUUAGGACACGAGGCUUCAUCAUCCCCUGUGCAGGUGAUGGGGAGACUUGGAUGAGGCAAGUGUCAUUUAAAAGGGAAAGCUUUGGAGUGCCUGGGUGACUCAGUCGGUUAAGCAUCCGACUCUUGGUUUCAGCUCAGGUCAUGGUCUCUCAGUUCAUGAGAUGGAGCCCCUCCUGGGGCUCUGUGCUGAA